rnacentral:rRNA from 1 species
GGACCUGACUGCUAUCGGAUUGAUACUAAGCCAUGCGAGUCAUUGUAGCAAUACAAGGCAUACGGCUCAGUAACGCGUAGUCAACCUAACCUAUGGACGGGAAUAACCUCGGGAAACUGAGAAUAAUGCCCGAUAGAACAUUACACCUGGAAUGGUUUAUGUUCCAAAUGAUUUAUCGCCGUAGGAUGGGACUGCGGCCUAUCAGUUUGUUGGUGAGGUAAUGGCCCACCAAGACUAUUACAGGUACGGGCUCUGAGAGGAGUAGCCCGGAGAUGGGUACUGAGACACGGACCCAGGCCCUAUGGGGCGCAGCAGGCGAGAAAACUUUGCAAUGUGCGAAAGCACGACGAAGGUUAAUCCGAGUGAUUUCUGCUAAAGAAAUCUUUUGUUAGUCCUAGAAACACUAACGAAUAAGGGGUGGGCGAAGUUCUGGUGU